GUCUUUUGGAGUACCCUGCCGCUUAGUAAUCUCAUCUUUUGUCCUUUGACAGGCCUCCUUGAAGGCCCAACUCUGAGCGCUUUCUGGGCAGCUCUUGACUCGAACUCCACUGCGGCCCUUCACUGAUGGCAGCCAUGUUAGUUGCAUCCGGGUAUGUCGAGGAGCCCCGACCAAAGUCUCCCGGAAGUGACGCGAGCGCGGAGGGAUUCUCGUUCGGCUGAGGUGAAGGGGCUCCGGAAGCGGGUGCGGUAGAGACGGUGACAGGAAAGGACAAACUACAGGAAAGUGCUCUACAGAUGGUUCUAAGAAGUCUUCGAUGAAGCUAAAGAGAGCAGAUUUCUCUAGUGUGUCGCCACCAUCCCCCUCUGGAGACUUGGGAAGCAGAAGGAUAGCAGUGAGACAGAGUGAAGCUGACAUGCAUAGAGAAGCUGGGGUAAGAGACCGAUGGAAAGAGAUCUGAAAAUUUUUAUAUCUUUGUUUCUGGGAGUUUCUGAGACCCAGUAUCCUUUCUGCCCUUUCAGUAGUUGUGUGUUCAAGUUUUCCUUUCAUUACAAAGGAUAUCAGACCUUAAUAUUUUUCUAAUAAAUCUAUCUUUUUCA